rnacentral:rRNA from 1 species
CUACGGGUUGCUGCAGUGGGGAAUAUUGGACAAUGGGGGCAACCCUGAUCCAGCAAUGCAGCGUGUGUGAAGAAGGCCUGCGGGUUGUAAAGCACUUUUAGUUGGGAGGAAGGCUUAAUGCCUAAUAGGCAUUAGGAUUGACGUUACCAACAGAAAAAGCACCGGCUAACUCUGUGCCAGCAGCCGCGGUAAUACAGAGGGUGCAAGCGUUAAUCGGAAUUACUGGGCGUAAAGCGCACGUAGGUGGUUUUUUAAGUCGGGUGUGAAAGCCCCGGGCUCAACCUGGGAACUGCAUUCGAUACUGGAAGACUAGAGUAUGGUAGAGGAAAGUGGAAUUUCCGGUGUAGCGGUGAAAUGCGUAGAUAUCGGAAGGAACACCAGUGGCGAAGGCGGCUUCUGGACUAAUACUGACACUGAGGUGCGAAAGCGUGGGGAGCGAACAGGAUUAGAUACCCCAGUAGUC